UACAGAGGGUGCAAGCGUUAAUCGGAUUUACUGGGCGUAAAGCGUGUGUAGGUGGCUUCCUAAGUCGGUUGUGAAAUCCCUCAGCUUAACUGGGGAACUGCGUCUGAUACUGGCGAGCUUGAGUGCAGGAGAGGAACGCGGAAUUCCAGGUGUAGCGGUGAAAUGCGUAGAUAUCUGGAGGAAUACCGAUGGCGAAGGCAGCCCCCUGGGAUAACACUGACGCUCAUGCACGAAAGCGUGGGGAGCAAACAGG
rnacentral:rRNA from 1 species